AUGCAAGCCUUGCACAUGCACCCCAUGCAUGCAACCCCUGCACAUGCAGCCCCCAUGCAGCCCCCCACACACACACAACCCCCGUGCGUGCACACGAGCGUGCCAGGCAGCACCAGCCCCACACCCGUGCCACACACGUGCACGCCCAGGGCUGCGCACACCGCACGCCCCACGCAGGCCACCUCCUGCCGCCUCCGUCCCCACUCCGAUGUCCCCAUCCCGAUGGGGGGACGGGGCCCCAGGCCCCCUCUCCGCUGUGCUGCAGCCGCUGCCCCGGUGCCGGGUGGGCCGCAGGGCCGGGCGUUGCGCGUCGGCCGGCUACCAUCCCCGGCGGCCGGGUGCCAAAUUCCUCCGCCCACACAGGAAGCCGUCGGCGCGCUCUCGGCGCUCUGCACCGGGGCCAGGCCGGCCAGAGGGAUGCGAGCGAGCGAGGAAGGGCUGGAGGAGAGAAACCAGGUCAGCCCCGAGCCGCCAGCGUCACCCUGGCACGCAGCAGCCGGCUCCUUCGAGGAAGCAGGGCGAGGAUCCGGCCCCGGUGACGUCCCCUCCGGCGCGCACGGCAUGCGCCUGGCCGGCGCUCGCUCGCUCGAGGAACCGCCUCGGCCCCGCUGUGGGGACCAUGUUUGUCCUCGUCAUCGUCAUCGUCAUCUCCAUCAUCUUCCUCAUCAUGAUCUUCCACAUCUGCCGCAAGCUCUGCCGCGACGAGCCCCUGCGCCCCCCGCCCUACAUGGACCCCCAGUCCCCCGCCUCCCCACAGCUUGGCCCCAUGCCCGCGCUGCCCAGCCUGCCCGGGGGGGGCAUCCCGGUGGGCCUGGAGCCCCCGCCCUACAGCGAGGUAACGGCGAAGCCCUUCCUCUACCCACUGCCGCAGGGGCCGUGCCCCGAGUGCGGCCACAACCCCGAGCCUCAGCGCGCCCCCCCCCCCCAGACCAACUUCUAGGGGGGGGGGGACACCCCCAGCACCCCCACAGUGACCGGCGGCUCCAGGGACAGCUUGGGGACACCCCCUGGGGCCAGCAGCGGCCCUGGAUGGAGAGGGGCUCCUUGCACCCCUCACCGGGGGGGCACCCCGAUGCUUGCGCCUGUGCCCCCCCCCCAGGUGCCUGCGGCCACGCUCCCCAAAGCUGUGCUGCUGGUGCACAGCGGCGGGGCUCUCUAUUUAUUGUUGGAAAAGAACCCAAAGCCCUCCCUGCUCUGCUGUUUUGGGGGAGGGUCUGGAGAGGGGGCCUUUGGGGUGGGCAGCUCUGAAGCCCCCAUAGGGCCAGAGGGACUUGUGGGGCUGGGAGGCACAGGAGUGUGCGUCAGAUGGGGCUCUGCCAGCCUGUCCCCAUCCCAUCCCAUUGUGCCCAUCCCAUCCCCAUCCCAUCCCCAUCCCC
rnacentral:lncRNA from 1 species